rnacentral:misc_RNA from 1 species
UCCUCGUUUAAGCGAGGCAGUCUGUCCAGAGUGCUUCCCGCUCUCGCGGGAGUCGCAACAGGACACAAGGGUUGCGCUCGUUGCGCCACUUAAGGCAACACCUCACGGCACGAGCUGACGACAGCCAUGCACCACCUGUGCAGGCUCCGUAGAGCACCGGCUUUCACCGGUUUCACCCUGCAUGUCAAGCCCUGGUAAGGUUCUUCGCGUUGCGUCGAAUUAAGCCACAUGCUCCGCUGCUUGUGCGGGCCCCCGUCAAUUCCUUUGAGUUUCAUUCUUGCGAACGUACUCCCCAGGUGGGUUACUUAUCACUUUCGCUUAGCCACUCAGUCUUACGACCAAACAGCUAGUAACCAUCGUUUACGGCGUAGACUAC